rnacentral:rRNA from 1 species
UACGGGGGGGGCAAGCGUUGUUCGGAAUUACUGGGCGUAAAGCGCGCGUAGGCGGCUUUUCAAGUCAGACGUGAAAGCCUCAGGCUUAACCUGGGAAUUGCGUUUGAUACUGUUAGGCUAGAGUGUGGAAGGGGCUACUGGAAUUCCGUGUGUAGCGGUGAAAUGCGUAGAUAUACGGAGGAACACCAGCGGCGAAGGCGGGUAGCCGGGCCAACACUGACGCUGAUGCGCGAAAGCUAGGGUAGCAAACGGG